rnacentral:rRNA from 1 species
AUACGGAGGGUGCGAGCGUUAAUCGGAAUUACUGGGCGUCAAGCGUGCGUAGGCGGUUUGCUAAGUCAGAUGUGAAAGCCCCGGGCUUAACCUGGGAACUGCAUUUGAUACUGGCAGACUAGAGUAUGAUAGAGGGGGGUAGAAUUCCUGGUGUAGCGGUGAAAUGCGUAGAUAUCAGGAGGAAUACCAGUGGCGAAGGCGGCCCCCUGGAUCAAUACUGACGCUGAGGUACGAAAGCGUGGGGAGCGAACAGGAUUAGAAACCCCAGUAGUCC